rnacentral:misc_RNA from 1 species
GUUGGUGAACCAGCGGAGGGAUCAUUACAGAGUGUAAAAACUCCCAAAACCACUGUGAAUCUACCUUAUUUGGUUGCUUUGGCAGGCGAACCCAGGGCGGGGCCGUAGCUGGCUGCAGCGCCUGCCAGAGGACCUACAACUCCUAUUAUUACAGCUACUCUGAGCCUAAAGAUAAAUAAGUCAAAAUUUUCAAUUGUGGAUCUCUUGGUUCUGGCAUCGAUGAAGAACGCAGCAUCUGACUGACUUGGGA